rnacentral:rRNA from 1 species
UUGGUGGUGGGCAGCCGGCGGGCCGUGAUCAGCAAUGACUCGGCCUGUUGUGCAGGCUCGCCUCCCGGCCGCACUUUCCCCGCGGUUGACGGCAGGAACCGUUGGGACCGGACCAAAGGCCUGGGAUGAAGUUGCUUGCCCUCACGGGCUUUCAGCUCCUGGUGUCCUGGCUUCGGGCCCGACGGGUCACGAGCGGACUUGUAUAGCAAGCGACAGCCUGUUGCGGUUCGCCUCUCUCUG